GGGUGAGUAACGCGUAUCCAACCUGCCCGCCACUUGGGGAUAACCUUGCGAAAGUAAGACUAAUACCCAAUGAUAUCUCUAGAAGGCAUCUGAAAGAGAUUAAAGAUUUAUCGGUGAUGGAUGGGGAUGCGUCUGAUUAGCUUGUUGGCGGGGUAACGGCCCACCAAGGCAACGAUCAGUAGGGGUUCUGAGAGGAAGGUCCCCCACAUUGGAACUGAGACACGGUCCAAACUCCUACGGGAGGCAGCAGUGAGGAAUAUUGGUCAAUGGACGAGAGUCUGAACCAGCCAAGUAGCGUGCAGGAAGACGGCCCUAUGGGUUGUAAACUGCUUUUAUAAGGGAAUAAAGUGAGUCUCGUGAGACUUUUUGCAUGUACCUUAUGAAUAAGGACCGGCUAAUUCCGUGCCAGCAGCCGCGGUAAUACGGAAGGUCCGGGCGUUAUCCGGAUUUAUUGGGUUUAAAGGGAGCGUAGGCCGGAGAUUAACCGUGUUGUGAAAUGUAGAUGCUCAACAUCUGAACUGCAGCGCGAACUGGUUUCCUUGAGUACGCACAAAGUGGGCGGAAUUCGUGGUGUAGCGGUGAAAUGCUUAGAUAUCACGAAGAACUCCGAUUGCGAAGGCAGCUCACUGGAGCGCAACUGACGCUGAAGCUCGAAAGUGCGGGUAUCGAACAGGAUUAGAUACCCUGGUAGUCCGCACGGUAAACGAUGGAUGCCCGCUGUUGGUCUGAAUAGGUCAGCGGCCAAG
rnacentral:rRNA from 1 species